AACGAACGCUGGCGGCAUGCCUAACACAUGCAAGUCGAACGAGACCUUCGGGUCUAGUGGCGCACGGGUGCGUAACGCGUGGGAAUCUGCCCUUGGGUACGGAACAACAGUUAGAAAUGACUGCUAAUACCGUAUGAUGUCUUCGGACUAAAGAUUUAUCGCCCAGGGAUGAGCCCGCGUAGGAUUAGCUAGUUGGUGAGGUAAAGGCUCACCAAGGCGACGAUCCUUAGCUGGUCUGAGAGGAUGAUCAGCCACACUGGGACUGAGACACGGCCCAGACUCCUACGGGAGGCAGCAGUGGGGAAUAUUGGACAAUGGGCGAAAGCCUGAUCCAGCAAUGCCGCGUGAGUGAUGAAGGCCCUAGGGUUGUAAAGCUCUUUUACCCGGGAUGAUAAUGACAGUACCGGGAGAAUAAGCCCCGGCUAACUCCGUGCCAGCAGCCGCCGCUG
rnacentral:rRNA from 1 species